rnacentral:rRNA from 1 species
UACGUAGGGUGCGAGCGUUAAUCGGAAUUACUGGGCGUAAAGCGUGCGCAGGCGGUUUUGUAAGACAGAGGUGAAAUCCCCGGGCUCAACCUGGGAACUGCCUUUGUGACUGCAAGGCUUGGGUGCGGCAGAGGGGGAUGGAAUUCCGCGUGUAGCAGUGAAAUGCGUAGAUAUGCGGAGGAACACCGACGGCGAAGGCAAUCCCCUGGGCCUGCACUGACGCUCAUGCACGAAAGCGUGGGGAGCAAACAGG